rnacentral:rRNA from 1 species
AGGGAAUAUUGCACAAUGGAGGAAACUCUGAUGCAGCGACGCCGCGUGAGUGAUGAAGGCUUUAGGGUCGUAAAGCUCUGUCGUAAGGGAAUAUUAUGAAGGUACCUUACAAGAAAGGACCGGCUAACUUCGUGCCAGCAGCCGCGGUAAUACGAGGGGUCCUAGCGUUGUUCGGAAUCAUUGGGCGUAAAGCGGGUGUAGGCGGACUGUUAAGUCAGAAGUGAAAGCCCUGGGCUCAACCCAGGAAGGGCUUUUGAUACUGGCAGUCUUGAGUUAAGUAGAGGAUGGUGGAAUUCCUAGUGUAGUGGUGAAAUACGUAGAUACUAGGAGGAAUAUCAGUGGCGAAGGCG